UUCGGUUUAGGGCACCAUCAGAAACCCUAAAGAUUUGGGCGGUGUGCUGCGAUCGACUCUGGUCGUCGAUUAGUAACGAGAAAGAAUAACAUGCGAGACAGAUUGUAGUAUCCUUGUUUUAUUUAUUAAUUAAUUAAUGUACUUAAUUAUUUUAUGUCGGUUGGUGCAUGCAAAUUAAGGUGGCUUGGAUGCCACGUGCACCCAUGCAUGCUUAUCAACAAAUUAGGUGGGCAUUGCCUAAUUUGUUUACUUCUCUCUUUGUUCGACCGAAGCAAAGAGCUCAGUGGAGGUAGCCGCGAGCACGAGUUCGACGCCGAUGAUGCGCCGCGAAGCUGUUCGAGGGUACGGUUGGGAUCGUAGCGCUGCGAGGAAGCUAGGCGAGGGUGUGUUUUCGCCGUUCUCGACGCCGCGUCGAUGUCCGAUUAGUCUUUGAGCGUCAACCGUCGGUAUUUCAGUUCGUACUCGGCGUAGGAGCGUCGGUUUUCGACGGGACUUGGUUCGUUGGAUUCGGGACUUCGAGAGGAAUCCACGAAACCCUUACUUGCUGGAUUUGGUAAAGAGUUUAGCGGGAGCUUGACUUUAGGCCUUGGGAGGUUUUCGGACGUUUCGGCAGGUUGUUCCGCAGCCGAGGGGAGUUCCGUGCUGCCAGGGAUUAGCGAUCGAGAGUCUUCGUCUUCGGCUGCCGUUAUUGCUGGUCAGGAGCUAGGCAAGGGUGUCACGAGUUAGAGUCCUACCCGAGGAGCAGAGCUAGAGGCACCCCUACUGCAGGUAGAUAUUUUGGUUUGGGUUCAUGUACAUACAGACUUUUAACUCGCCAGCGCGAGUAGCUUUGUACUCUAGGAUUCAGUGUAUGUAUAUGGAACUCGGUUUCUUUUACUUUA